UGAACGAUUUGGAAGACAGAUGGCUUCUUUUCAAAGCUGCAGGUGGGAAUGGAAGGAGAAGAAUAUCUGUAAUACCAUUGGAGGCAGAGGGGUAUACAGGAUCAGUGAUCAAAAGUGCUUCUAAUGGUGGGAAGAACUUGCUGUACGUCGUGCCGUUGCAGGAUGAGCUUGUAAUGCAUCCUUGCUGAAUAAAAGUAUUAAUUUCUUUUAAACA